UACGAAGGGGGCUAGCGUUGCUCGGAAUCACUGGGCGUAAAGCGCACGUAGGCGGCUUUCUAAGUCAGGAGUGAAAUCCUGGAGCUCAACUCCAGAACUGCCUUUGAUACUGGAGAGCUUGAGUCCGGAAGAGGUGAGUGGAACUCCGAGUGUAGAGGUGAAAUUCGUAGAUAUUCGGAAGAACACCAGUGGCGAAGGCGGCUCACUGGUCCGGUACUGACGCUGAGGUGCGAAAGCGUGGGGAGCAAACAGG
rnacentral:rRNA from 1 species